ACACAUGCAAGUCGAGGGGCAGCAUUUUUGAAGCUUGCUUCAAAAGAUGGCGACCGGCGCACGGGUGAGUAACGCGUAUGGAACCAACCCGCAACAGGGGGAUAACCCGGAGAAAUCCGGACUAAUACCGCAUGGUACUCUUUGCACAGAAGUGUGAAGAUUUAAAGAUGCGAAUCGGUUGCGGACGGUCAUGCGUCCCAUUAGCUAGUUGGCGGGGUAACGGCCCACCAAGGCGACGAUGGAUAGGGGUUCUGAGAGGAAGGUCCCCCACACUGGUACUGAGACACGGACCAGACUCCUACGGGAGGCAGCAGUGAGGAAUAUUGGUCAAUGGGCGAGAGCCUGAACCAGCCAAGUCGCGUGAGGGAAGACGGCCCUAUGGGUUGUAAACCUCUUUUAGAUGGGAGUAAAGUGUUCUACGCGUAGGAUAUUGCAAGUACCAUCAGAAUAAGCAUCGGCUAAUUCCGUGCCAGCAGCCGCGGUAAUACGGAAGAUGCGAGCGUUAUCCGGAUUUAUUGGGUUUAAAGGGUGCGUAGGCGGGUGAUUAAGUCAGCGGUGAAAUGCGUCAGCUUAACUGGCGAACUGCCAUUGAAACUGGUUACCUUGAGUGUAGCGGAAGUAUGCGGAAUGCGUGGUGUAGCGGUGAAAUGCAUAGAUAUCACGCAGAACUCCGAUUGCGAAGGCAGCAUACCAUACUAUAACUGACGCUGAAGCACGAAAGCGUGGGUAUCGAACAGGAUUAGAUACCCUGGUAGUCCACGCAGUAAACGAUGAAUACUCACCGUUUGCGAUAUAAUGUAAGCGGUAAAGCGAAAGCGUUAAGUAUUCCACCUGGGGAGUACGCCGGCAACGGUGAAACUCAAAGGAAUUGACGGGGG
rnacentral:rRNA from 1 species